rnacentral:rRNA from 1 species
UACGGGGGGGGCAAGCGUUGUUCGGAAUUACUGGGCGUAAAGGGCUCGUAGGCGGCCAACUAAGUCGGACGUGAAAUCCCUCGGCUUAACCGGGGAACUGCGUCCGAUACUGGAUGGCUUGAGUUUGGGAGAGGGAUGCGGAAUUCCAGGUGUAGCGGUGAAAUGCGUAGAUAUCUGGAGGAACACCGGUGGCGAAGGCGGCCUUCUGGACAGUGACUGACGCUGAGACGCGAAAGCGUGGGGAGCAAACAGG